rnacentral:rRNA from 1 species
AAUAGUCAAAACUUUCAACAACGGAUCUCUUGGUUCUGGCAUCGAUGAAGAACGCAGCGAAACGCGAUAAGUAAUGUGAAUUGCAGAAUUUAGUGAAUCAUCAAAUCUUUGAACGCACAUUGCGCCUGCCAGUAUUCUGGCAGGCAUGCCUGUCCGAGCGUCAUUUCCACCCUCAGGCGCCUAGUGCGCCUGCUGUUGGGGCAUUCUGCGGCCUAGCCGCAGGC